rnacentral:rRNA from 1 species
GAUGAACGCUGGCGGCGUGCCUAAUACAUGCAAGUCGAGCGAACGGAUGAGAAGCUUGCUUCUCUGAUGUUAGCGGCGGACGGGUGAGUAACACGUGGAUAACCUACCUAUAAGACUGGGAUAACUUCGGGAAACCGGAGCUAAUACCGGAUAAUAUUUUGAACCGCAUGGUUCAAAAGUGAAAGACGGUCUUGCUGUCACUUAUAGAUGGAUCCGCGCUGCAUUAGCUAGUUGGUAAGGUAACGGCUUACCAAGGCAACGAUGCAUAGCCGACCUGAGAGGGUGAUCGGCCACACUGGAACUGAGACACGGUCCAGACUCCUACGGGAGGCAGCAGUAGGGAAUCUUCCGCAAUGGGCGAAAGCCUGACGGAGCAACGCCGCGUGAGUGAUGAAGGUCUUCGGAUCAUAAAACUCUGUUAUUAGGGAAGAACAUAUGUGUAAGUAACUGUGCACAUCUUGACGGUACCUAAUCAGAAAGCCACGGCUAACUACGUG